UCCGAGUUGACCCCGGCAGUCUCCCACGAGUCCCCGACAUGACCCGCUGGCAACAUGGGAUAAGGGUUGCGCUCGUUGCGGGACUUAACCCAACAUCUCGCGGCACGAGCUGACGACAGCCAUGCAGCAUCUGCGCACGCUCCCUCGCGGGUCCUCGGCCUUUCGGCUCCGUACCACGUGCAUGUCAAGCCCAGGUAAGGUUCUUCGCGUUGCGUCGAAUUAAACCACACGCUCCGCUGCUUGUGCGGGCCCCCGUCAAUUCCUUUGAGUUUUAGCCUUGCGGCCGUACUCCCCAGGCGGGUCACUUAAUGCGUUAGCUCCGGCACGGAGGGAGUCGACACCCCCCACACCUAGUGACCAUCGUUUACGGCGUGGACUAC
rnacentral:misc_RNA from 1 species